rnacentral:lncRNA from 1 species
UAGUAGUGUGAAUAGUUCUUUGACCUGUGGUGCCUCAACUACUCAUAGUGCGGUUACUGUAGUUUGACCACAUAUAAAUAUGAUCUCCUAGAUAUUUGAAUAUUUGUGGUGUACGUUGGCUACAAUAGGUUCAUUAUAGAAAGAGAGUGUCAUUGAUCUUAGUAUAUAAGGAGUAGUCCUAUGAGAUUUGAGAAGUUGAGUCCUUAAGUCUGUCACCACAGUAAGAUGAUUGAUGGAAAGAAGUUUUCAUGAGUUUCAUAUUUGGACUUGAGCUAAUUGAAUCUUUCAUAUCAUAAAUGCUAGGGUUUGACGAGUCUUCCAUAACUUCCAUCUUGGUCGGGACUCACGAUAGAGAAACUAAAUUGCACAGUUACUACACCAGAGAUUCUAUUUAUUCUAUUCUACUGAAUGCCACCACAUGCUGCUAGGCAUCACUAGUAGAUUGUAAGAGCUCACUAGAAUCAUUUUGGAUCGAUGAUUCUUUUUGGGUGAGAGUUAGAAAUGUUCCAACAUAUUGAAAGGUGUUUCGAUUGUACUAUGAUGGAGAUCAUGGUAUGUCUUACUAUCAGAUAGAAUAAAAUCUAUAAGAUGACACACAAAA